AGCCAGUGUGGUGUAGUGCUUUGCACAUUGGGCUAUGACUCUGGAGACCAGGGUUCAAAUCCCUGCUUGGCUA